rnacentral:lncRNA from 1 species
UCUCGACAAUUCCAUUACCUCAAAAACCUGGCUGAUACUAAAAUCCCCAAUCUUCACCUUACCAUCACCUGAUUGAUAAUAAAAUGUAUCAUUUGCGUUUGAUUUUGCUCUGGUGGUCCAAGCAAACUCCCUACUGUACUCCUGAAAUAUUAAAACCCAAAAGAACUAAUCAACUAAUCGCGAUCGUUUCACAAUUUGUAUAUACUCGUAUGUUUGAAAGUUAAGCUGAAUCAUAGAUUAAUAGUUUUCACAUAAACUCAAACUAAAAUGAAACGAUCAUGCCUCCCUUCUCAUUAACAGGAUAAUCAUUAAUACAAUUAAGAUUAACUGAAUCAAACCAAGACUAACUUUUAGUUUAUUUGUGUUAUUCACUUCGACUGUGUGAUAUUCUAUCAUAACUCCACCGCAGGAUUUCAAUGGAAAUCAAUGGAAACAAUGGAAACAUAAUUCCAAAAUUACCUUCAAUGGAAACCUUCCAAAAUUCCAGUCUGCAUACCUUCAUGGAAAUCAAUGGAAACAGAAUUCCAAAAUUACCCAAUGAUAAAACAUACCUUUUCAGCCGAUUUGAUGAUGAUCUCCUCCUCCUCCAAUUGAAUUUGGGUUCAAUUCUGUCUUGCUUGUUUUUUCCACUUUCUUCGUAGAUGAAACUUCCACGUUCAUGCGUCUGGCAGUUUUUAUCUUCCCUGGAGAUCGUGCAACUGCACAUCUCUCUUUCUCUACUCGAAUACAAAUUUGCUCCCCAUCCAAAGCUACCCACCCUCAUACCCACCAAUCUAGCUGAAUGUCACAUGUCUUAUCUUUUAAUCACUCUAACCAUGGUUAACUAUAUGGGUUUAUAUUAGUAAAUUAUAUUAUCUUCUAACUGAUAAAGUAUAAAGUGUAUAGACAAAGAGAUAGCAAGAGAAUCAUCAUCUUAUUCAUUGAUAGGAGUCCUUUAUAUAGAGAAUUACACAAUACCAAUAUGGUAAGGAUAUGAAUACAUAGAUCUAGUCUAACUACAUAUCCUAUUGGUAUAAGGCCAAGGCACACAUAAAGAAUAUCUAGAAAGAUACAGAAUAUCCUAGAACACUCCCCCUUGUGCCGCGCGCUGAUAUGCCGAUAGUGCUGAUCUGUUGCCUCGUCAAAAACCCUGUGGGAGAAAAACUGAAUCUUGAUCGUAGGAGAAAAAGAGUACAACGCACCCUUCACAUUUGAUAGUGACAUGUAUGUAUGUGCUAGACUCCCUCUGAAGUUCGCACCUCCCCCUAAUCUUUACAUCAAUCAUAGGGCUCUUCCUGAUUCUUACUAAUCACGGAAAUUUCAACUUAGCAUGUCAAUGCUCUUUAACAUGUUUUCAAAUGUGGCAUUAGGCAAUAAUUAACUAAAUCAUGCCGUAUUGUCCUCAAAUGAUCUUUUACACUUCGAUCUUGAGGAGAAUGCCGCUUGUGAACUCAAAACAUAAGUUCGUGCAGAAAACUAGAUUUCCGCGUAGCAUAACCUUCAGUUACUAGAACAGCCGUAACUUCCUCUAGGAAAUACAUAUAAACGAACCGUAAAUGGUUUUGGAAACUAG